AAACUAUCCCUUUCAGCACAAAUCUGCCUGGAGCUGUUUCCUGAACACAGGACCAAAAGGCAGGAAUCAAAAGUAGUAAUGAGUUUAGUUAUCUGUCUGUUACUGAAGGUGACUUCUAGGGCAUCCUCCUGGCAUUGCUUCUGGAAUACAGUGACUUAGACUUAUUCGGAAGAACAUCUCUAUGCUGUUCAUCACAUCGCCAGCACCUAGCCCUGUGCCUGUGCAUAGUAAAUGCUCAGAAAAGAAAAAACAACAAAGUUUCCAGCUCUUACUCUAGAUUGACACUGGACCUUGGAGAUGCUUGCAGUUUUCUAUAGGAAGGAUGUAAGAGGAAGGAAAUUCAAAUCUGUUGAGUAUUGCUCUUGCCAGCAAAAAGAAGUGGAACUGACUAGUGAGAUGGUGGUGAGAUUUUCUUUGGUGGCUGUGUGCAGUGGUAUCAACCCAGGAGAGUAGACUGUUCAAUUGUGAAGAAUUUUGCAAGAUGGUUGUUAAAGUAGAACAUCGUUAAAAUUAAGUUGUAAUAAAAAAAGGGAAAUAAGCAUUGGAAAAGAUGUGGACAGAUUGGAACCCUCAUACAUUGCUGAUGGGAAUGUAAAAUGGU
rnacentral:lncRNA from 1 species